UACAGAGGGUGCAAGCGUUAAUCGGAAUGACUGGGCGUAAAGCGUGCGCAGGUGGAUAGAUAGGUUGGAUGUGAAAGACCCGGGCUUAACCUGGGAAUGGCAUACAAAACGGUCUGUCUAGAGUAUACGAUAGAGGGUAGCGGAAUUUCCGGUGUAGCAGUGAAAUGCGUAGAUAUCGGAAGGAACACCAGUGGCGAAGGCGGCUACCUGGGCAUAUACUGACACUGAGGCACGAAAGCAUGGGUAGCGA
rnacentral:rRNA from 1 species